rnacentral:rRNA from 1 species
AUUGAACGCUGGCGGCAGGCCUAACACAUGCAAGUCGUACGAGUGGCGGACGGGUGAGUAAUGUCUGGGAAACUGCCCGAUGGAGGGGGAUAACUACUGGAAACGGUAGCUAAUACCGCAUACCAUCGGAUGUGCCCAGAUGGGAUUAGCUAGUAGGUGGGGUAACGGCUCACCUAGGCGACGAUCCCUAGCUGGUCUGAGAGGAUGACCAGACACACGGGAACUGAACCACGGUCCAGACUCCUACGGGAGGCAGCAGUGGGGAAUAUGGCACAAGGGGCGCAAGCCUGAGGCAGCCAGGCCGCGUGUAUGAAGAAGGCCUUCGGGUUGUAAAGUACGUUCAGCGAGGAGGCGUUACUCGCAGAAGAAGCACCGGCUAACUCCGUGCCAGCAGCGGCGGUAAUUC